rnacentral:rRNA from 1 species
CUCAACGAGUCGAGUUGUUGGGAAUGCAGCUCUAAAUGGGUGGUAAAUUCCAUCUAAAGCUAAAUAUUGGCGAGAGACCGAUAGCGAACAAGUACCGUGAGGGAAAGAUGAAAAGAACUUUGGAAAGAGAGUUAAACAGUACGUGAAAUUGUGAAAGGGAAACGUUUGAAGUCAGUUGUGUUGGCUGGGGAUCAAGCCAGUCUUUUUGACUGGGUGUACUUCCUAGUUGACAGGCCAACAUCAGUUUUGACCGUCAGAGAAAGGCUUUGGGAAUGUGGCACCUUUACAAGGUGUGUUAUAGCCCUUGGUCGUAUGUGACGGUUGGGACUGAGGACAGCAGCGUGCCGCUUUGGCAGGGUUUCGACCACGUUCACGCUUGGGAUGUUGGCAUAAUGGCUUUAAGCGACCCGUCUUGAAACACGGACCAAGGAGUCUAACAUGCAUGCAAGUGUUUGGGUGGAAAACCCAAGCGCGUAAUGAAAGUGAAAGUUGAGAUCCUCGUUAGUGGGGAGCAUCGAUGCCCGGACCAGAACUUUUGGGACGGAUCUGCGGUAGAGCAAGCAUGUUGGGACCCGAAAGAUGGUGAACUAUGCCUGAAUAGGGUGAAGCCAGAGGAAACUCUGGUGGAGGCUCGUAGCGAUUCUGACGUGCAAAUCGAUCGUCGAAUUUGGUAUAGGGGCGAAAGACUAAUCGACC